AGAUUGAACGCUGGCGGCAUGCCUAACACAUGCAAGUCGAACGGGAGUAGCAAUACUCUAGUGGCGGACGGGGUGAGGAAUACGUAGGAAUUUGCCCUUAAGUGGGGGAUAACCCGGGAAACCCGGAUUAAUACCGCAUGACCUCGAAAGAGCAAAGUGGGGGAUCGCAAGACCUCACGCCUUUGGAGAAGCCUACGUCGGAUUAGCUAGUUGGUGAGGUAAUGGCUCACCGAAGGCGACGAUCCGUAACUGGUCUGAGAGGAUGAUCAGUCACACCGGACUGAGACACGGUCCGACUCCGUACGGGAGGCAGCAGGUGGGAAUAGUUGGAACAAGUGGGCGCAAGCCUGAUCCAGCAACGUCG
rnacentral:rRNA from 1 species